AUUCAGGUCCCCACAACCGACACAAAUCGUGCAACUUGAAACUCCGCCUGGUCUUUCCAGGUCUAGAGGGGUGACAUUUUGUACUGUGCUUGACUCCACGCUCGGUCCACUGGCGAGUGCUAGUAACAGCACUGCUGCUUCGUAGCGGAGCAUGGUGGCCGCGGGAAUUCCUCCUUGGUAACAGGGACCCGCGGGGCCGAAAGCCACGUCCUCACGGACCCACCAUGUGUGCAACCCCAGCACGGCAACUUUACUGUGAAAACCACUUUAAGGUGACACUGAUACUGGUACUCAAUCACUGGUGACAGGCUAAGGAUGCCCUUCAGGUACCCUGAGGUAACACGCGACACUCGGGAUCUUGAGAAGGGGACUGGGGCUUCUUUAAAAGCGCCUAGUUUAAAAAGCUUCUACGCCUGAAUAGGUGACCGGAGGCCGGCACCUUUCUUUUAAACAACUAUUUUUA
rnacentral:other from 1 species